AAAUUUUUUUAAUCCCAAAUCUUUAUUUCACUCUUCUUCUCAUAUGUAUUUCUUCCGCUCACUUUCUCCAAAUCCCACUUCUACUCUUCGACUAAUUACUACAGAUCCAAAAGCUCACUGAACUUGACAUGAACAAUGACGUAUAGGAGAACGAUGCUUGAUAUUGGGCUCUGCUAAAUGAUAUACGGGUCGUGUGGACGGUCAAUUCAGAACGGGAGGUUGAAUAGUCCAGAAUAAUGCUAUCACGAAGGAGGGUCAAGAAUCUCAAGAUAUAUACAACUAAUCGAUUGAAUUCUUCGACAGCAGAUACAAUGUCCUUCAAUUAUGGGCUUGUGCCACAUAUAUCUACACCUGAUACAAGUUCGAGGUAACAUUGUCAAGGUUUAGAAGAAGCAAGAGGAAAUGUUGGAUAUGAAGCAUGAGCUUGCUUCUCACAAAAUUAAAGCUAUGUGGUCUGACCUUGGUAGGUUCUUCCUUAAGGUACCAAUGUUUAUGGGUUUGAUACUUUUACUUGAAUUUGGAUUAUCUUGGUUCAUUGUUAGUGAGUGGCGUUAUUACAUUAUAUUUCUUAGCAGAGAACAAGUGUAUAAUUUUUGUUGAAUUUCAUAGUUGUAGCUGCCAGUGAGUUUGUCUCCUCUUUUCAUUUCACAAACUCUAGAAAAACCUGACCUUGCUCCAGCUGCUUGGGCGUGACUCAGCAUUUUGAAUGAUACGGCCGCAAGCAUGUGCUUCUCCCGCUUGGUCCAAGGGUCGGCACUGCGUCAGCUACACUUGAUCUGUAUUGCAAGAUUUUUUUUAUUUUCUUUCAGUUUGAACUUUUGUUAUCCAUGUGUUUAACUUUUCAGGUUAAAUUUUGUUAGGUAACUAGAUUGUGGGCUUGUAUGAUGCUUAAGGUUUCUAAUAUAAGGAUUUGAGAUUU